rnacentral:rRNA from 1 species
AUCCUGCCAGUAGUCAUAUGCUUGUCUAAAAGAUUAAGCCAUGCAAGUCUAAGUAUAAGCAAUUAUACUGUGAAACUGCAGAAAGCUCAUUAUAUCAGUUAUAGUUUAUUUGAUGGUACCCUUCUACAUGGAUAACUGUAGUAAUUCUAGAGCUAAUACAUGUCGGAAUUCCUGACUCGCAAGGGAAAGGAUGGACUUAUUAGAUACCCGCCAACCUGGCUUGCCAGUUCUAUGGUGAAUCAUAAUAAUUUCUAGAUCGCAUGCUCUUCGGGGUGGCGAUGGGUCAUUCAAAUUUCUGCCCUAUCAGCUGUGAUGGUAAUGUAGUGGAUUACCAUGGCGUAUACGGGUGACGGAGGAUUGGGGUCCGAUUCCGGAGAGGGAGCCUGAGAAACGGCUACCACUUCUAAGGAAGGCAUCAGGCGCGUAAAUUACCCAAUCCCAAUACGGGGAGGUAGUGACAAGAAAUAACAAUACCGGGGUCUUUAAGGCUUUGGUAAUUGGAAUGAGUACAAUGUAAAAUCCUUAACAAGGAUCAAUUGGAGGGCAAGUCUGGUGCCAGCAGCCGCGGUAAUACCAGCUCCAAUAGCGUAUGCUAAAGUUGUUGCAGUUAAAAGGCUCGUAGUCGAACUUUUGGCUUUGUUGCACCCGGACCAUGCCCUUGUGGUGUGUUGCUCUGGUGUGCACAAGUCAUUCUUCUGGAAAGCAUCUCUGCCCUUAAUUGGGUUGGUUUUGUAAUUCAGAUCAUUUACUGUGAGAAAAUCAGAGUGUUCAAAGCAGGCUUUAAUGCUUGUAUGGUUCAGCAUGGAAUAAUAAGAUAAGACUUCGGUUUUAUUUUGUUGGCUAUAAGACCAAAGUAAUGAUUGAAAGGGAUAGUUGGGGGUGCUAGUAUUUAGUGGUCAGCGGUGAAAUGCGGGGACCCAUUAAAGACUAACUUAUGCGAAAGCAUUCACCAAGGAUAUCUUCUUUGAUCAAGAACGAAAGUUGGGGGAUCGAAGACGAUCAGAUACCGUCGU